rnacentral:rRNA from 1 species
GCAGGCGGGACGCGACGUAAACGCUACAAGUCGUGCGCGUAAGCGGGUUUAGAGCUCGAUAGUAGAGCGGCGAACUGGCCCUCUAAGGUGACUAACCUGCCCCUGAGUGGGGAAUAACCUGCCGAAAGGUGGGCUAAUACCGCAUGGUCUCUUUGGGUUUCGGCCUGGAGAGUAAAGCAGUAAUGCGCUCGGGGAUGGGGUCACCUCCCAUUAGCUAGUUGGUGGGGUAACGGCCCACCAAGGCUACGAUGGGUAGCUGGACUGAGAGGUUGGCCAGCCACACUGGGACUGAGAUACGGCCCAGACUCCUACGGGGGGCAGCAGUCUAGAGGCUUUGACAAUGCCCGAAAGGGUGAUCAAGCGACGCCGCGUGCGGGAUGAAGGUCUUCGGAUUGUAAACCGCUUUUGUUUGGGGAGAAGGCCCUGCUCGUGAAGCAGGGAUUGGCGGUACCAGACGAAUAAGCCCCGGCUAACUCCGUGCCAGCAGCCGCGGUAAGACGGAGGGGGCAAGCGUUGUUCGGAAUUAUUGGGCGUAAAGGGCUCGUAGGCGGACCUGAAAGUCUGACGUGAAAUCUCCACCGCUCACCGGGGAGGGGCCGUUGGAUACUGCAGAUCUGGAGUUCGGUAGAGGGUCGUGGAAUUUCGGGUGUAGCGGUGGAAUGCGUAGAUAUCCGAAAGAACACCGGUGGCGAAGGCGGCGACCUGGGCCUGAACUGACGCUGAGGAGCGAAAGCUAGGGGAGCAAACGGGAUUAGAUACCCCGGUAGUCCUAGCUGUAAACGGUGGAUCUAGGUGGUGGGGGGGUAUCAAGGUUAACACUCAAAGA